CCCUACCAAUGUGAUACUAUAUUUGGUGCUGGCAUUAAAGGAACCAUCAAUUGGUCAACUAAAAUUGAAUGGUGUGCAAUAAUCUGAAGAAUGACUGAUUGGUAUUUCUGUUUUAUCUACAAAUAAUCAGAACAAUAUCUUAUUUGUAUAGUAGGAUAUCUUGUCAUUCCUUUCUUCCUACAAAAAUAAAACCAGGAAAAUUUCUAAUACAAUAAUUACAAACAAGCAAAAACAACCAGUGGGACUUUUGAGGUAAAAAG
rnacentral:lncRNA from 1 species